rnacentral:misc_RNA from 1 species
GAUGAAGAACGUAGCGAAAUGCGAUAAGUAAUGUGAAUUGCAGAAUUCAGUGAAUCAUCGAAUCUUUGAACGCACCUUGCGCCCUUUGGCCAUUCCGAAGGGCAUGCCUGUUUGAGUAUCAUGAACACCUCAACUCUUUAUGGUUUUCCAUGAUGAGCUUGGACUCUGGGGGGUUUGCUGGCUCACAGUCGGCUCCUCUAAAAUGAAUCAGCUUACCAGUGUUUUGUGGGUAUCAUGGGUGUGAUAACUAUCUACGCUUGUGGUUUUUCCACCAGGUAACCUUCAGCAGUGGAGGUUCGCUGGAGCUCAUAGAUGUCUCUCCUCAGUGAGGACAGCCCUUUGAAUGUUUGAUCUCAAAUCAGGUAGGACUACCCGCUGAACUUAAGCAUAUCAAUAAGCGGAGGA